rnacentral:rRNA from 1 species
GAUGAACGCUGGCGGCGUGCCUAAUACAUGCAAGUCGAGCGAACAGAUGAGGAGCUUGCUCCUCUGACGUUAGCGGCGGACGGGUGAGUAACACGUGGAUAACCUACCUAUAAGACUGGGAUAACUUCGGGAAACCGGAGCUAAUACCGGAUAAUAUAUUGAACCGCAUGGUUCAAUAGUGAAAGACGGUUUUGCUGUCACUUAUAGAUGGAUCCGCGCCGCAUUAGCUAGUUGGUAAGGUAACGGCUUACCAAGGCAACGAUGCGUAGCCGACCUGAGAGGGUGAUAGGCCACACUGGAACUGAGACACGGUCCAGACUCCUACGGGAGGCAGCAGUAGGGAAUCUUCCGCAAUGGGCGAAAGCCUGAAGGAGCAACGCCGCGUGAGUGAUGAAGGUCUUCGGAUCGUAAAACUCUGUUAUUAGGGAAGAACAAAUGUGUAAGUAACUAUGCACGUCUUGACGGUACCUAAUCAGAAAGCCACGGCUAACUACGUG